GAUGAAGAACGUAGCGAAAUGCGAUAAGUAAUGUGAAUUGCAGAAUUCAGUGAAUCAUCGAAUCUUUGAACGCACAUUGCGCCCGCCAGUAUUCUGGCGGGCAUGCCUGUUCGAGCGUCAUUUCAACCCUCAGGCCCCCAGUGCCUGGUGUUGGGGAUCGGCCCAGCCUUCCUGUAAGGCCGCCGGCCCCGAAAUCUAGUGGCGGUCUCGCUGUAGUCCACCUCUGCGUAGUAGCACAACCUCGCAGUUGGAACGCGGCGGUGGCCAUGCCGUUAAACACCCCACUUCUGAAAGUUGACCUCGGAUCAGGUAGGAAUACCCGCUGAACUUAAGCAUAUCAAUAAGCGGAGGA
rnacentral:misc_RNA from 1 species